UGGGGAAUAUUGGACAAUGGGCGCAAGCCUGAUCCAGCCAUGCCGCGUGAGUGAUGAAGGCCUUAGGGUUGUAAAGCUCUUUCGCCGACGAAGAUAAUGACGGUAGUCGGAGAAGAAGCCCUGGCUAACUUCGUGCCAGCAGCCGCGGUAAUACGAAGGGGGCUAGCGUUGUUCGGAAUCACUGGGCGUAAAGCGCACGUAGGCGGAUUGUUAAGUCAGGGGUGAAAGCCUGGAGCUCAACUCCAGAACUGCCCUUGAUACUGGCAAUCUCGAGUCCGGAAGAGGUAAGUGGAACUGCGAGUGUAGAGGUGAAAUUCGUAGAUAUUCGCAAGAACACCAGUGGCGAAGGCGGCUUACUGGUCCGGUACUGACGCUGAGGUGCGAAAAGCGUGGGGAGCAAAACAGGAUUAGAUACCCUGGUAGUCCACGCCGUAAACGAUGGAGGCUAGCCGUUGGCGAGCAUGCUCGUCAGUGGCGCAGCUAACGCAUUAAGCCUCCCGCCUGGGGAGUACGGUCGCAAGAUUAAAACUUAAAGGAAUUGACGGGGUCAUAGCUGUUUCCU
rnacentral:rRNA from 1 species